rnacentral:rRNA from 1 species
UACGUAGGGUGCGAGCGUUGCCCGGAUUUAUUGGGCGUAAAGAGCUCGUAGGCGGUUUGUCGCGUCGAAUGUGAAAACCAGGGGCUCAACCCCGGGCCUGCAUUCGAUACGGGCAGACUAGAGUUCGGUAGGGGAGUCUGGAAUUCCUGGUGUAGCGGUGAAAUGCGCAGAUAUCAGGAGGAACACCGGUGGCGAAGGCGGGACUCUGGGCCGAUACUGACGCUGAGGAGCGAAAGCGUGGGGAGCAAACAGG